GACAACUGGAUCUGAAGCGUAAUGAUGGUCUUCAGAAGGCCUCUCAUGGUGGUCUUGAUUCAGAGGUUUGAGAAGACUACCAAGCACCAGAGCCAGCUAACAGGUGGACCAAACAUCAAGCCAGAAUUCUGCAUGAGUCAGAAUUUAUGUCUUUUGAUAUUAUUGCCUAAUGCAACAAAUGGAAAAAAGCAUACUUUAUGACAACCUUAGCAGCAGAACACCAUGACUUUCUCCUGGGUAGACGAGAAAAAAAGUUUGGUAUCAACACCCAUCUAACAAUUAAGAAAGUUAUCUACAGCCACACAUCCACUGUAUACCAAGUUAUGAUGAUCAAUUAUGAGAAUGCAAAAUGAUUUAUAGAUCAGUAAACAAUCAACAAAAAGAUGGGUGCUCAUGGUGGCCUCCAAAUAAAUACAUGGACAGGCUGCUAAAGAGGGUCAGGAUGAUGGAGAUGCAAGAGCCAAAGACAGCACGGACCAAACACCAGGCCAGAAUUCUGCAUGAGUCAGUUUCCAGCCUUUUUCACAAAGUUGCCGACAACUGGAAGAAUGUCCCAAAUUGCUGAAAAAAGAAAUUCAAUUGAGUAAUUUUCACUCUAGAGACCCUGGGGUGACCACCAAGGACGAAUGAAAACUCCAGUGAGUGUCUCUAAGGUAGAUCCUAAUGCAGAUGGAUGGAAUGUUGAUCCGCCUAACAUGCAAGAUUUUCUGUACCGAGAACUUUGGAUGACCAUCAAGACAAGCACUCGUUUUGAGUCCUGAGACCCUGGGGUGACCACCGUGAACAAAUACAGACUGCAAAAAGGCAGUCUUGACGGUUCUAGGAUGAAUGCAAAUAAAGACUGACCACCUGACUUCAGCGGUCCAGUCUCUUGUGGGAAGCAGGUGUUUGUUACCCCAAAUACGGAUGAAGAGUGACGAAGAGGAUGAUGACUUUUUUCUCAAACAUCAUCUGAAGAUCUUGACAGGCUGGAGACAAAAUUAACAGACUGAGGGUUUAUACAAAGAAUCUUACUCAGCCAAUAUUAAAGAUAAGAUAUUUUUACAAAA